UACGUAGGGUGCGAGCGUUAUUCGGAAUUACUGGGCGUAAAGCGCGCGCAGGCGGCUUGCUAAGACAGGUGUGAAAGCCCCGAGCUUAACUUGGGAAUGGCGCUUGUGACUGGCAGGCUGGAGUGUGGCAGAGGGAGGUGGAAUUCCACGUGUAGCAGUGAAAUGCGUAGAGAUGUGGAGGAACACCGAUGGCGAAGGCAGCCUCCUGGGCCAACACUGACGCUCAUGCACGAAAGCGUGGGGAGCAAACAGG
rnacentral:rRNA from 1 species